UGCAUCCUGAGGUUUUCCCGUUGAGAAUUGCAUGAGUUUACACCAUGUAACUCUGGGUCACUCGAGUGUACCUCAAGGUUGGUAAACACAAAUCAAAGCUCUGGAUCCUUGGGGCAGGGGCAUGGAGAGUGGAUGAUGUGCGUGACUCGGGGAGAUGAGGCCUUGAUCUCAGGCUGCACGGCUGUAUCAGUGCGUGAAGGGUGGAUGCAACAUCUCUACAGGGACAGUAAACAGAUGAUGCUUCCUGCAGACAGACGGGAGAGAGCACGAAGUGACGUACAGCAAAGCCUCUGGUGACUGAUACCAACCUCACCCUGUUCCUGUGAUUUUGAGAUUUUUCAGAUGUUGGUGGAAUGCUGACCUAACAUCCUUUCUGGAUCCCUGGAGGUGCUUUGCCUACAUCAGAUGAAGUGUGAGCUGCUGCAGCAUCAUCUUCCACAUCAAGCUAAAGACUUGUUCUCACAGCCCGGUGUGUACAUGCAGGUGAACUCAGCUUGCCAUUUGGCUUAAAGGGAGCUUAUUAGGCUCGGAGAAGGAAACACAUUUUCCACAGUGGGCCAAGGCCACAGAGGGAUGAUUUAUAUUAUGAAAGCCUUUAACUCCACUGGUUAUGAGUUGGAGGAUGAAGUGGAAUUGGAAAGAAAUGCUUCAAGAGACAAGAUGUACUCUGGCUAGGUGACUAAUAAACAAGAGGAUGAUAUCUCAAAAGCCCUGCCCGCUCCUGACAUCUGGCAUUGAAUGAGACAUGUGUUUUGUAAGUUGUUGAUAAUACAAAUGACCCACUGUCUGACAAUCCCUUUCCUCUCCAUCUCUGAGCUGCUCUCUUUCCUUUGAAUGUGUAAAAAGAAUCAAUGUACCCUCAGCGUGUUUGUUGCAGAAGGUAACUCAAGGCCUGAUAGUGAAUAGAUUUGAAAAAUGUUUCUUCCUGUACUUACACAGGUUUCAAUGGUAAACAACAUGAUAAGAGCGUAUGGGUUUAGUUCAUGAUUUAGAUACAAUGCAUCUGCAAUAGACCCGUCUCAAAAGUUGUAUUAUGUUUCAAGGUUGUAUUUCUCAAAGAAACCGGCAAAUUAUCAUUUACUUUUUACAUUCCAUUUUUUAUUAUUAUAGAUUGUACAACUUGUAAAGGGCAUAGCUAUCACACAGACACGACAAACCAAGAGAAGCAGGAGGAGGGUUACAGUGUCAAGGUAUUAUACCCAUUUGUGAAAACUGACAAAUUAAUGGUUACAAAUUUGAUCCCUCAAUUUAUUUUCUUAUUGCACAUACAUGAAAACAAAAUUCCCAGUUGGGGCUUCAACCAUGAACACUAAACACUUUCCACCCAGGCAGUGGAUUGUUGACUGCAGCAUAGCAAACCCCCCCCCCCAACCCCCACCUGUUAUUUAUUUACACUGUUUAUGGUAUUUAUUUUCGUGCACUCUUUAACAGGGUGAAUCAUGGCCAUUUUCACUCCGGUCAAACUUUAUUGUAAACAUCAUAUAUUGUAAAGCUCACUCUUUUGUCAAUGUAGAACAGAAGCUGCUUUACCUGCAGCAAUGUCAACAAUGUGUACAUACUGCCCCCUAGAGGUCAGAAUGUGUCACUGCAUUCAGAGUGAAGUUCUGUAGUAAUCCACCCAUUUGCAGUAGAUACAUAUUUUCAUUUUUGUCAUUAUUAUGAUGGGGAUUUUGAGCUACAAAUCUUAUCAAAUCUCAUUAAAUACAUUCAUAGUUAACUGCAUAACUGUCAACACAAUGUAGCCUAUAGAGUUAUGGAAAAUGUGAACAGAUAGAAAAGCAUGUAAGCAUUAGAAUGGGUUUAGAUCAACAUCAGAUGUAAUGUUGAGUUUUAUUUGAAAGACAUUAUAAUAUCUACUUAGCAUAGCUGAUCAUAUCUUUGUUUUAUAAGAUAUGAAGUCAGACAAUUCAUGUUACUUGUAAUUGUGCUGAAUAAGGUAAUACAACUCAAUCUAAAUAUCCAUACUUAACAAAAUAUUGUUCGCAUUACAAAUAUUAGUAAAAACUGCAAGUAUGCAAUUUCACUUUAAUGUGCUAAAAAAAUGGAAAGGUAUUAAAUGCAAGGCUUAAUUGUUUAAAGGACGUGCAGCGGCUUUUAAUUACCAGCUAAUUAGUUGAGGACAGCUUGCCAAUUCACAACUCCUUCAUAACUACAGAUUCAGAUCUUAAAUGGAACACUGUGAUACAUUCAGAAUCAAUCAUGCGAGGUAAAUGUCAGCUAAACGCAGAGAAAAGUCACACUUUUAUUAACCUGAGGAAUUGGAAAGAUUUGUAUUUAAUUAAAAGACUCCCAAUGUUAGGGUUAAAUUGUGACAGUAGCUAUUUGUGCAGUACCCACAUGUUUCCUUUCAUACGUGUUGAAUAAAGCACAGGUGUUCCCAGUAACGUGAACAAUGUGUUUAAUUGAUUGUUAGUGAUAUUGAUUUCAAGCUUUUUAUUUCAAAAGUAUCUUACCAUGUACCGCAGAUAGAGUAAAAAAAAAUGCUCAAAUAAAG